rnacentral:rRNA from 1 species
GAUGAACGCUGGCGGCGUGCCUAAUACAUGCAAGUCGAGCGAACAGAUAAGGAGCUUGCUCCUUUGACGUUAGCGGCGGACGGGUGAGUAACACGUGGGUAACCUACCUAUAAGACUGGAAUAACUCCGGGAAACCGGGGCUAAUGCCGGAUAACAUGUUGAACCGCAUGGUUCUACAGUGAAAGGCGGCUUUGCUGUCACUUAUAGAUGGACCCGCGCCGUAUUAGCUAGUUGGUGAGGUAACGGCUCACCAAGGCAACGGUACGUAGCCGACCUGAGAGGGAGAUCGGCCACACUGGAACUGAGACACGGUCCAGACUCCUACGGGAGGCAGCAGUAGGGAAUCUUCCGCAAUGGGCGAAAGCCUGACGGAGCAACGCCGCGUGAGUGAUGAAGGUCUUCGGAUCGUAAAACUCUGUUAUUAGGGAAGAACAAAUGCGUAAGUAACUGUGCGCGUCUUGACGGUACCUAAUCAGAAAGCCACGGCUAACUACGUG